rnacentral:rRNA from 4 species
GGUGAAUACGUUCCCGGGCCUUGUACACACCGCCCGUCACACCAUGGGAGUGGGUUGCAAAAGAAGUAGGUAGCUUAACCUUCGGGAGGGCGCUUACCACUUUGUGAUUCAUGACUGGGGUGAAGUCGUAACAAGGUAACCGUAGGGGAACCUGCGGUUGGAUCACCUCCUUACCUUAAAGAAGC